rnacentral:lncRNA from 1 species
AUGCGGGUCAUGUUCAGCUGCCUGUACCCUAACUCUAUGCUGGAGUCAGGCAGCAUAAGUGAAAGGAGAAUCAAGUCCCUUGGCUUCAGAAAAAACUACCAGACCAUGCAGUCCAGCUUUAGGAGUAUAAUUUUGGGGGCAAAUCACACUGAAUUACAUGGAUAUUAAUUUUAAGUGUCCUUAUUCCAAGGAGCCAUAAACUUUCCUUACACCCACUAUACGUUAACGGGAGUAUGUGCCAAUAUAUGUGCAUAAGUGUGCAUAAGGACAUUCACCUAACAAAUAGCAAUCUGACUGGCAGUGUUUAGUCAUAAUUAAUAUUUUAAAGCAUUAUCUUAAUGCCCCCUUCAUUUCAAAUGUGAGGCAGUGCAAACUUGAAAACAGACUAAAAAAGGUUUUAUAGACUUCCUUAUAUAUGUCUUGUUCCUCGUCUCCCAGGUUAGUACAUUAGCUCCACCCAAAUCCAGCCAGUCAGAACCAUGCUACAAUACACACAGUAACUAGCAAGAAGUAUAGACAGAAGGGAAAUAAGGACUGGUAUUUUCCACAUCUUUCUGCUGACAUAAAUACAUUAGAACCAAAAUUGUCUCAGAAGUAGCUUUUUUUUUUUUUUUUAGUUGUUCAUAAAUGGCAUAUGAAAUGUACAGGCCAGCACCUGUAUAUUACAACCACUUACUCCCCAAUAGUACAUUGUUGAAUCUUUUAGGGGAGUGCCAGAUCCCCUAUAAGACACUGAAAAAACCCCCAAACCCCAAGCAGUAGUCAAAUCAAACACCAUAAAUAACAGGAUGCUCUUCAGAAAGGCCCUCUUUUCAAGAGGUUCUUUUCUACAUCUUCAGGGCAACUGGACACUUAGGAAUGUUUGAGAUCUUUCCCUAAAAUUGACAAAGUGUGGUAUAACGGCUCUUGGCUUUGGGGUUUUUGUCUAAAGCUCAACAGAAUGGUGUUUGUACUGAUACAUUUAUUUUUGCCAAUAUACGCAUGAGGAAUGUAAUGAAGUGGUGUUGUACUGCAAGUAGCUCAGCAGAUGUUGAAAUCAGUUCCAGUUCCUGAAAACAACUUCUUGACAACACAGUCUUAGCAUUCACAAUAACUGAAACAUGUGGGAUUCAUCUACAUCAUUCUUAAAAAUAUAUUCUCUCUCCUCCUCUUUUUUUCCCGCUGUAUU